rnacentral:rRNA from 1 species
UACGUAGGGGGCAAGCGUUGUCCGGAAUCAUUGGGCGUAAAGCGCGCGUAGGCGGCCCGGUAAGUCCGUUGUGAAAGUCAAAGGCUCAACCUUUGAACGCCGAUGGAUACUGCCGGGCUAGAGUCCGGAAGAGGCGAGUGGAAUUCCUGGUGUAGCGGUGAAAUGCGCAGAUAUCAGGAAGAACACCAAUGGCGAAGGCGGAUCUCUGGGCCUUACCUGACGCUGAGGCGCGAAAGCGUGGGGAGCAAACAGG